rnacentral:tRNA from 1 species
GUAGGAGUGGCGGAACUAGCAGCCGCGCACGUUUGAUGGGCGUGUGGGUAACCGUACGGGUUCAAGUUCCGUCUCCGACACCA